AGUGUCAUGUAACCGUCCAGGCGCACUGUGCCAUGGCCGUGGAGAAAAAGGCAAUAACCCUAAACCUGGAGGAGAGCAUUGUAAAAAGAAUCCAAGUCUCAGAGGGUGCUAUAACCAUGGAGGUCAUGAACGUGGAGGAGAGGAAGACCCUAUCCAUAAAAGGCAUGGUCAUGAACACGGAGGAGAGCAUGACCCCAACCAUAAAGGCCGUGGUCAUGAACAUGGAGGAGUAGUGCUUGAACCCAUCCAUGGAGGGAAAGGCCACGGUCACGAACGCGGAGGAGAGGGAGACCCUAACCAUGGAGCACAUUGUAAACGUGGAGAAACCAAUAGAGCGUGCUACGGGCAUGGAGGUCAUGAACGUGGAGGAGAGGGAGACCCCAUCAACCACGGCAGCAAAAACAGACCAGGACAACCAGGCACCGCUGAGACCGAAACAAAGAAUUAGAUAAAACCUUGGCCUGUGUACGUGUGUGGAAAGUUUGUUUGUCAAUAAAAAGGUCUAUUACAUAUAUUGGUUGAGUAGUUGUGAACACUCAGGCAAAAUCAGACCUACUAUAUAAGGUUUAUCUCUGUACUGUUACGUAAUGUAGUCUUGGAUCCUGCUUGUUAUAUGUACUUAAUGCAUGUGUUUUAAUUUUCUGAAUUGAUAUUGUGUGUGGAAAGUGUCUAGAAUUUCAAGUUUACCUUUAAUUGCUUACUGAGUUCCAUUUGAAAUCUCACAAUUUUCUGUUUUGAUUCGUGUCAUGAAUAAAUAAUAAAUAAACUAUGAGAGGGACCAAAUAGAACUAAUGCACACCCACAAAAAGUAUCAAUUAUGGUCAAUCAAUGCAACUAGCUUCUAAAUAUGGGUGGUUAGAUCCAUAAUAAGAUGAAGCCAUUGGAAACCACCAAAGUUUAUAAAGUUGAAUAUCCUUACACAAUGGUAAUUUUCCUUCUAAAUAAACAAAAUAAAUCUUAAAUUUUAACCUGGUGAUUAUUUGUUUAUGUCUAAUCUCAUUUAUUUUUCAACUAAUUUUUGUUAGUAGUGUAUUAGAAAAAACUAUUAGUGUGCUCAAAAACAUAAAUUAAUUGAUGAAUGGUCUUUAGAGGAUCCUUUUUAUAAUUUUAGUUUCCGUCUUUAAAAAAAAUUAGUUAAGACUACAAUUUUUUUAAAAAAAAUUAGUGAACACAUGUAUCACGAGUCAACCUACUUUCUUUCUUCUUUUUUUCCUUUUUUUUUUUUUUUUUUUUCUGGGAGUGCAUUUACACGUACAAACUGAUUUAAACAAUUCCUACACAACAGCUAUUUGAUGAUAAAAUGGAAGCUUUCCAGUCGAGCUACUUUCUGUUAAUUUAUCUUUAACUUUAUGUCACGCUGAGUCUACUAAUCCUCUUACGAGCAAGACUUUUUUUUUUGUUCCCUGAGCUUUGAAGUAAGACACUUUUGUGUGCAUUUCUUUUGACGAUUAUGUCCUUUUUAGGUAGAGCUUGAGCUUGUUUAUUAAUUAUCUGCGUUAGUUUCUAGUACUUAAUGUUUUUUUCUUUGCAGACGUGGCUUAGGCCAGUUGGUUCAUAUAGUGAGUUUAUCUCCGUACAUAUUUUAAAUAUACGAAAUAUCCAAUCCAAUAUUAAUUACCAAAAUAACCAUUUGUGUCUGAAAAUAUAAAUAUAAGAAAGGAAACAAAAAUCGAAAAGACUUUUGUAAUCACUCUACAGUGAGAGACAUGAAAAAUGAAUAUUAUAAUGAGUGAGAAUACUAUUCCUGUUGUAAAUGCAUGAGUUGGUGGAUGGCCACCAUACCUCUUAAUAUUCCACCGUUGGAUUUUAUGUAACCUAUGCACUAAGUAUUUGUAAUUAGUGCUUGUAACCUAUAUGUAUAUUGUAAAUGAUGGUAUUCAAUCUCCUAUCUUGUAAGCCUAUAAAUAGGUGGUUCUACCAAAGAUUUAGGGUAGAAUAAACAUGGUGAAACUUUGUCUUUAGCAUAUCACUUCUCUCUACAUUUUCUCCCUCUAGUUUUAUAACAAUUCCACCUAUUCGUGAGUUUCUCCCUUUGUUAACAAAAUAUAUAUAUAUAUAGUUUUCUUUUAUUCCUCAGAUUUGUGAAUUUAAUUAAGCACAUCAUUCAUACAAAUCUAUGACAUACCAAUAAAUUUUGAUAAAUUAUCCUGAUUUUUCCGUAUAUAACAUUUUUGUUUCUAUGUUAACUCAUCAGGAUUUAUUAGUUUGAAAUUAAUUAUGAUUGUUGUACAUAAUCUUGGAUUAAUCUUCCUAUGGAAAUAGCUCCUCUACAACUACACAAUUUAUUUAUUUAUUUUUUUGAGGUCCUUUCCUAUUGAAAGGGGCGAUAGCAUAUUAAACUCACACACACAACACGGAUGCUAGGACUCGAACCCAGGACCUUGCCUGAGGGAGCAAAUACUCCAAACCACUACACUAGUGGGUCCUUUGCACAACUACGCAAUUUAUAUAGUUGUGAAAUAGCUCCUCUAUUAAUUAGUAAGAUUAUUCUAACAUUCAAGAUAAGUUCUAUAAGGAGAAUGCCCCAUAUAUGAUGCCGUGAAUUAGCCAUCCAUAUAUAUAUAUAUACAUACAAGGAGUUUUAGUUGAGGAAUUCUUCAAAUAAGCUUAUUUGAGGGACAUCUUUGUAGUGUCCAUUUCGUAUUAUUUCACUAAUCCAAACUGUCUAUUUUGUAGAUACUCAUUCAAAGAUCAUUUCUACAAAAAAUCACUUGAAUCCGAUAUCAUUUGACCACUCAAUUGACGUAUUGAAAUUUUAGUACUUUCUUGAAGCAUCGUGUACAUUAAUUUUGUAGGACACAAUUGGAUGUCGAAACAAUUUUCGAUUUGUCUAAUUUUUUGAAAGGAUGAUUUAUGAAUGUAGACUUAAAAAAUUGAUGGUUUGGAUCAUUGAAAAAAAUUCAUAGAGGACCCUAAAGGGUGUCCCUCAAUAGAAGGGGACUGUAUAUACAUAUACAAUUAUUCUCUUAUCCAAAUAUCUAUACGUUGUUACCAUACGGAUGUAAAAAAUACAUGGCGUUCGCACGAUAAUAACGUUUGUACUGUCCAAUAGAAAAUAAACAUAUUUGAGAUUCACCCUUGUAUGGCCCACUACACAUUAUAAUUAAUGAUCUGAACUGUCUAGUUUUUAAAUAUUCCCUCUUAGAUCAUAUAUAUGCAAAAAAAUCAUUUGAAUUCAAAACCAUUUGGCUACUCAACUAUAUGAUUGUUAUCAUAAACUUUUUUUUUUUUUGAAGCAUCGUGUUUGUGUAUUUUAUUAGUUCCAAUUAGAUACCUUUUUAACUUUUAAUUUAUAUGAUUUUUUGCAAGAAUGAUCUAUGAAUGAAGGUUUAAAAAAUAGAUGGUUUGAAUGGUUAAAUUUAUUUCCGUAGAGUAACCUAAAGAAUGUCCCUUAAAUAAAAUUAUUUUAGAGAUCCCUCAAUUAAGGAAAGAAAAAGACACAAUCGUUAUCCAUUUAUUAAUCCUGCUCAAAUGUGGAAUUCUAAUAAAGUUGGGUGCAUUAGGGUUUGUAUGAUAUUAUAUUUUUCUUAUAAAAUAGUUUCGAUGACAUCAUUGUAAGACAUCACAUAAGUCGUCAUAAUUUGAGAAGCCAUUAAAUUAGAUUUAAAGGUGGAUAUAGGUCCAAGAGAAUGACACUGUAUGUACAUAUAUGGAGGAAAAGAUAUAUAUCAAGUAAGAAUAUUGUAAAAGAUUCUGGAAAAACUACAAAUCAACAAUACAUGGCAGUGCGAAAAGUCUUUGUUCAAACCUUUUUUUAUUUCGGUAGAGAGGAGGGCUAAAGCCCAAUACAAAACACGAACUAAUAAUUAAUAUUAAAUGGUCGAUAGCAAGGGAGCAUCCCAAAUAUGGAGACCCAAAGGCUUAAUAAUUUGGCAACCAGAAAAAAAAAAAAAGCAUAUAUCAACAACAUAAUUGUUUUCCCUAAACACAUGAUGAAUCUGACACAUACCAUCAGACAUAAUAGGUUUGCAACAAGAUAUAAGACUGAACAACGGGUGCAAGGGAUCACAACUAUGAGCAUUAUGACCUAAUUUUUUAAUAAUUUUUUUUUGUAGGAAUACCUUUUAGCUUAGUUAGAUCCAUAAUAAGAUGAAGCCAUUGGAAACCACCAAAGUUUAUAAAGUUGAUGAAUAUCCUUAGACAAUGGUAAUUUUCCUUCUAAAUAAACAAAAUAAAUCUUAAAAUUUAACCUGGUGAUUAUUUGUUUAUAUCUAAUCUCAUUUACUUUUCAACUAAUUUUUGUUAGUGGUGUAUUAGAAAAAACUAUUAAUGUGCUCAAUAACAUAAAUUAAUUGAUGAACGGUCUUUAGAGGAUCGUCUUUAUAAUUUUAGUUUCCGUCUUUAAAAAAAAAUUAGUUGAGACUACAAUUAAAAAAAAAAAAUUAGUGAACACAUGUAUCACGAGUCAACCUACGUUCUUUUUUCUUUUCCUUUUUCUUUUGUGCAUUUACACACGGAUUUAAACAAUUCCUACACAACAACUAUUCGAUGAUAAAAUGAAAGCUUUCCAGUCAAGCUACUUUCUGUCAAUUUAUCUUUAACUUUAUGUCACACCGAGUCUACUAAUCCUCUUACGAGCAAGACUUUUCUUUUGUUCCCUGAGCUUUGAAGUAAGACACUUUUAUGUGCAUUUUCUUUUGACGAUUAUGUCCUUUUUAAGUCAUGAGCUUGAGCUUGUUUAUUAAUUAUCUGCAUACGUUAGUUUUUGGUGCUUAAUGUUUUUUUCUUUGUAGACGUGGGUUAGGCCAAUUGAUUUGGACAGUGAAUUUGUCUUUGUAAAUGCUUUAAAUAUACGGAGUAUCCAAUCCAAACUAAUCACCAAAAGAACCAGUUGUGUCUAGAAAUAUAAGAUCGGAAACUGAAAUUGAAAGGACUACUUUUGUAAUCACUCUACAAUGAGAGACAUGAUAGAUGAAUAUUAUAAUGAAUGAGAAUACUAUUCCACCUAUUCGUGAGUAUAUAUAUAUAUAUAUAGUUGUCUUUUAUUCCUUAGAUUUGUGAAUUUAAUUAAGCACAUCAUGAAUACAAAUCUAUGACAUAUCAAUAACUGUUUGAUAAAUUAUACUGAUCUGUCCGUAUAUAACAUUUUUGUUUCUAUGUUAACUCAGGAUUUAUUAGUUUGAAAUUAAUUAUGAUUGUUGUUCAUAAUCUUGGAUUAAUCUUCCUAUGGAAAUAGCUCCUCUACAACUAUGCGUUUUAUAUAGUUUUGAAUGUGCUAUUAAUUAGUAAGAUUAUUCUAACAUUCAAGAUAAGUUCUAUAAGGAGUGUUGAUGCUCAAAAAUGGUCCAACACUUUUGGGGCAAACUUAGUGAUGUUUUGAUAUUCAGCAUCUUUUGAGCUUCAGUAGAGCGAUCGAUCUGCAAGAUAGAAAACGCUCCGUAAGCCCUUGGGCACCAGUGUGGUACCAGUCGAAGGCUCUAUGAUGCUUAAGUAAGAAUAAGUACGGAGUGUAUAGUAAUCUGGACAGAGUAAUGGCUGAAUUGCCGAAAGUCUCGGUUAUACCCUUUGUGGGACUUGUGCCCACUUUUAUAAGUCUUGGGGAGGUGUGCAUGUUAUGUGAAACUUCGAUGUGGGAUUGUUGAUAUUGCAUGUGGUGGCUCCACGUGUCUCAACAAGGAAAUGGUUAGUAAGAGGUCUUGUGUUGUAUUCGACAGUAAGGGGUGCCGAACGCUCCUUACCGAUGGCUUCUUACUUUCCAUGUGGGAUCUUCUCAUUGGUCAAUCAUAUAAGGUAUAAACAGGAGUCCCUUAAGUUUCCAUCUGAGAGAAUCUUCUUAGUUGGGGACUUGCUCUUAUCAUCAGUACCCUGGUCAACCAGGGUUUUGUUUACAAGGCGUUGCUCGGUAUAGGAUGUUUAAACAAUCCAUGGUGUUCCGUUCGGUACCCCUCUCUGGGGUAGGCAUUUCAUCGGCAGUGUUAGUGUUUUUGUAGGAAAUUGUAUUCCUGGCCUUUCAUGGGCCAUAAAAGUAUGUAACGUUCGGUAGAAGUGAUCUCCCAAACAGUAAAGCGUACUGGGGCUACCUUCUUGGCAUGAUAAAUACGCAGUGCCGAUCGGUAGUUUUUAGAAUCUUCUGAACAUUUACGUGGAUAACAUGACGCUUAGUCUUCUAUGUGUGGUGUGCGCGUUGGGAAGCGAAACUGAGAGCAUGGGAUAACCUUCCGUGCAUAGCGUGUAGGUUGCUACCGCACAUUACUGGUGCCACGUGUCGUGAGCACGCAUGCGAAAUGAAGUAAUGAUGGCCUCAGUUGCAUUAUUGAGGCGAACCAAUUGGUUUCGUCUGUAUAAAAAGGAGGUGACUUCGGAUUUGGAAAUCACUUGUAUUGUGAGAGCCAUUUGCGAGCUUGUGAAGAGACGAUUUCCGGCAAGCAUUCUUCAUUGAGAAGGCGAUUUUCGGCGACUGUUUACACGGCGGAGAGAUUUCCGGUGACUUUGUCAACCGUAAAAAACAAGGCAUGUUGCUCUCUUAGCUUUCUUUUUCGAUCAAAUGCACCCUUUUGGCUUGAACUAGUCUAUGAAUAUGUAUGAUCACGAAGAAUGUUCGGUAAUCUAUUUGCCGUAAGUAGCAAUAAUCAUAGGACUCCCUAGUUUGAUCUUUGCAUGGCAUUUAGUUUCCCUUUCAUUUCUAUUUGUAGGAAAGAUCAGGCUGGAAUUUUUUAGGAGAGGGCACCCGUGUUUGCAAGGUGAAGAUCCGGCAGACCACCCUGGCCAUUUUUUGAGAUUGGCUGGAAGCCUAGCCCAGUUGUGCAAGGAGGAAAACUCCCAGCUGCCUGGCCUUGCUUUGGCUGGAAGAUUCGGCCAGCUGUUGCAAGGAGAGGGCCUAAAUAGUGCGAGUUGGCUGGAAACCCAGCCCAUUUGCAGGAAUUGGCUGGAAGCCCAGCCCGGAUGUUGUGAGGGCACCCGGUUGACAAAAAGGUCACGCAAAGUGGCUGGUGAGACAAUUCCAAAGCGAUCUUGAAUUUACUUAGUUGACCAUUUAUUCCAAACCCAACUAGUUGUAUUUUAUUUAUUUAUUGCUAUUUGUUUAUUGGCUAGGCUCCUUGGAAUUGGAUACCACACCCAAACAAAAAUAAACCAAGAAAACAUACAAAACAACAAGAGACCAAAAGAACAGAGAAAAAAGCACAAUAACUCACAAAGAGAAUCAAGGGAACUUACUUGGGCAUCCCGCUAAUAGAGUCUACUAAAUAUUCUUCUGUUUAACAAGCAAAGAUAAGGGUGCAAUCGUUAUUCAUUAUAAUAAUAUUAUUUUUGACAAAAAGCAUUUGCAAUGGUUAUGAUCAAUGCAAUUUUAUUGCAUGAAAUUGAACAAAAACAAUAAAAUCUCACUUGCAAUGGUGUUAAAUGCAAUUACAAUACAUGGUGCUAUGUGAUGAACCCUGUAUUGCAAUUGCAAUAGGCUAACUAUGGACCCAUAUGUCAAUUAAAAAAAAUAGAAAAAAAAAAUACAUCAAUUAAUGUAUUAUGUUGUUAAGAGUAUCCGCAAUGGUUGUUCAAUAGUUCAAUGCCAAAAAAAAAAAAAAAAAAUUCAAAUAUUUUCAAAAUUGUUCUCGUUUUAAAUAUCUCGAUCUCUUUGAGAAUAUUUCAAUUAUACAAUUUUUAGUGUUAUUAAAUUUAUCCAUUUUAUUUUAUUUGAGUAUGUGAAAAAAAAUGUAAGAAGAUAUAAUUAUUGAUAUGAAGUUAUUGAACUGUACCAUUACAAAUAAAACUGUUGUUCAAUUCAAAAGAUGCCAAAAUAAUUCAAUAAUUAAACUAUUAAUAUUGAACAACCUUUGUGGAUGUUGUAAUCAUGCUCAAAUGUGCAAUUGUAAUAAGCUGGAUGCAUUUGUAUUUGUAUAAAAUAUUAUAUCUUUAUUGGAAAAUAGUUUGCAUUAUAUUAUUGUUGCGACAUCACAAAUCGUCAUAAAUUGAAGAACAAAACAUAAGUAGAGAAUUACUCAUAUUUAUAUUGAGGAAAAGAAAUAUAUCAAGAAAGUAUAUUUGAAAUAAAUAAAUAGUAACGUUUUGACGUUUGCUAGGUUUCUAUUAGGCCUGCAAUUCGGCUGGAACAGAUCAAAAACCAGUGUUUCAAAUUUCAAUCCGAAAAAAUUCGAAAUUCAAUAUGCCUUCCGAUUCCAAUCUGAAUUUUAAAAAAAUUUCAAAUCUUAUUCCUAUUCCAAAUAUUCGGAUAUAUCGGAAAAAUCGAAAAUUUCCAGAAAACAUUAGUCUUAAAGAUUUUAUAUGCUUAAUUAUGCAUUUAGCAUUAAUCUCAACUGGGCAUUUUGUUAAAAGCCCAAAUUGGGGAAAUAAAAAGAGCCCAAAACGAUUUUGAAUUGCAGGCCCGCUUACAACAGUACGCUAGCCUUACUGUGCUGAGGUGAAGAUAUUUAUAGAGCAGGAAAAGACUGAAGUUCUGUUUGCAGUUGAUGUGGCACUGGCAGUCUGGCACUGAAGUUCUUUUUGUUAUAUGGUAUGUUUGGUGUUGAGAGCAUGGGGGUUUCAGUGGGUUUUCGGGUAUGAGAAUUGUUGCACAACCAGGAGAUAUAAGCAUUAGAUUGCAUGAAUAGUUUUUGAAUUUUGUUACAAUAGGAAUUAAUUUUGAUUUGUUUCUCUUUGAAUUUGGGUUCUUUUGGAUUUUGUGAGUGGGCUGCUGUGGUAGCGUCGGAGGGGUUGGAAGCUCGAGAAGGAAAUGUUAUUAACGCUUUCUGCUCUUCGAACAAAGAGGGGCUCAAUUAGAGACAGGGUGCAAGGCGGGGUUGCCAUUGGAGUAGGAAAAAAAUGUGCUGGUGCUUGGCAACGGGUUAAACUCAAAGUGAGAGAGAGAGAGAGAGAGAGAGGAAUGAUAAGAUCUUUUGGUUGUUGGGAAGGGUGGUUGGGCUGUUCGAGAUAAGGCAGUGGGGAGGGUUGGAGCUGCUGGUUUGUGUAAAAUGCGUAUUUUUAAUUUUUUGUUAUUUUAACAAAAACAAAUAGUUCAGGGCAAGGAGUCUGGGUUUCCAUUGGUUUAUUGUCAAAUCUUUGUAUUUCGGAGAAACAUCAUCCAAAUUUGUAUUUAGCCUCCGUUGCUUUAUGAAGGUAAAACUAAGGGCUGUUGGGUAUCCUAUUUGGAUCUAAUUUUAUAAAUUAAAAACAAAUUUUAAGUCUAAAACUUAAAAAACCUAUUUGGUAAGCCCAUUUUUAAAGACCCAAACCCAAAACAAACUCGAAAACACCCAAUUAUUGAAAACAAAAACAGUGAGGUUUUAUAAUUUUUUUUUCUUCUCUCUCUCUCUCUCUCUCUCUCUCUCGUCGGUUAGUGGUUCUGGGUCCAAAUCGUGUUUGCAGCUCCAUCAAGGUCUCCUUUGUCCACUACCCGACCCCAAAUUGAUUAAUCAUUUUUCAUGUUUUGGGUUUCUAGGAUUUCUAUUGAAAUCUCAUAGGUUUUUCUUUUUCUUUUGUUAAUUUCAAUUUGGAAAUUUAAGGUUUUUUUAAUUUUAAUUUUAAUUUUAUUUAGAUCUUAAAAAUAGUUUGGAGUUCAAUACCAAACAAGUUUUUAGAUCUUAAAAACACUAUUUGAAAACUCAUUUAAAAAAAAAAAAAAAAGAAUUAUAGUUUUUAAGUUUAUUGUUUUGAGUAGGAUAUCAAAUAUGGCCUAAGAUUCUCAACCCAAAAAAAAAAUAAAUUAUUGGUUGAGACUUACUUUUUCUUGCUGAACACAUGUAUCACGAGUCAAGGAUACCAAACAUGGCCUAAGAUUCUCAACCCAAAAAAAAAAAUGUAUUGGUUGAGACUUACUUUUUCUUGCUAAACACAUGUAUCACGAGUCAACCUGCUUUCUUUUUUUUUUUUUUUUAUUUUUUCUUCUUCUUCCUCUUUUCUAUUUUUUUAUUUAAUUUGUUUUUACUUUUUUUCUGUCCCCCUUUUUCUUUUGUGCAUUUACACGUUAUACAAACUGAUAUAAACUAUUUGAGACCAAAAAAAACAAACAAACAAACUCAAAUAAACAAUUCAUGCGCUCCACAGCUACAUGAUGAUAGAAUUGAAGCUUUUCAGUUCUUAACUUUACCUGAUCUUCAACUUUUUAUUACAUAUCGUACUAAUCUUUUUAAAAGCAAGACUUGUCUCUUUUUUCUGAGCUGUAAAAUAAGACAAUUUUGUUUGUGCAAUCUUUUGACGACACUUUUUGUUUUUGCUUUUUUUUUUUAAGGAUAUUUUUUAUUGAGAGGGGCGAUAGUAUACUAAACUCACACACACUAUACGGAUGAUAGGAUUCGAACCCAAAAUCUUUUCUUGGGAUGCUAAGACACUAUACAUCCUUAUCUUGAGCUCGUUUAUCAAUUUUGUACAUAAUUGAGUUAGUUUCUUGAUAUGUAAUCUUUUUAACAUUUUGCUUUAUAAUAUUUAAUUUGCCUCCCCGAGUAUAAAUGUCAAUUUACUCUUCAAUAUGAAGUUUAACUAAUUUAAUAUGAUUUUUUCGACUUCAAAUAAUUAAAUAUAACUGGGUGACGUGGAGUUGUUGGGCUAUGAUAUCAUAUGAUGCAAGUUGAGUUUCCAUCCCAAAAUCAAUUGGGAAUGGAGGGAGUGACCAAAAUCCUUAUAAGUCAAUUGUAACUUUUCAAUAUAGGACAUUUCUUCCCAUUCUCUUACAUAUACACAUAUACAUAUAUACUAUAGUAAUUAAAGAAUUAAAACUUGCUACUCUAGCUAGCAGCUUUCUCAAUUACACAUUUAGAGAUGAAUAAUAUGGCAAUGACAGACUACAGAGUUGAGCAUAUAUAUGAUAAAUAUGUAUAUAAUAGCUAGCAGCCUCAGCUCGUGAGCUAGCUGAAAUUCCUACUCAUCAAGCUACUCGUGAGUUUCUCGCUUUCUUAACAAAAACAUAUAGUUCUCUUUUAUUCCUCCGAUUUGUGAAUUUAAUUAAUCACAUGCAUACAAAUGGUUGGAAAUAUGAGUACUAAAUUGCUAUAAAAUAAACAAAAUAAAUACUGCACAUAAAACAGAUUUUUACAAAAAGGAGAAUUGAAUUAGAAGAACCUUAAUUGAGUCGAGGCAAGUGUUGGACACUCUGACCUUAAGACGAAUUACGCCCCACACUGGUGCUUAUGGUUCACUAGCGUUCGCCUCUCAGGAUACAAUGACUCCCCUCUUUAUGAAAGAAGCACUGCAAUUCACAAGAAACUUUGAACCAAAAUUAUGAAGGAACCUCUCUUUAUGAAAACUCUAAUGCUCUCUAUAUAUGAAAGUAUAAAUGUAGAGAAUUGAUUGAAUGAAUAAAACUGCAGGAGGAUUGCUCUAUUUAUAGAUGAUGAAAUACCCUUUCCAAAAAGGUAUCCCAAUCUGAAAAGGCAAACAAUGCAUCCAUUGGCCUGAAGAGUUGUCACACCAAACAAUGCAUCCCUUGGUUUAAAGAGUUGUCACCCCCCAUGUAAAGAUGUCUUUAACCCAAUGGUCAUGUCUUUAACCCAAUGAAUUUUAUUAAUUUCCAUUCAAAUAGGAAAAUUAAUAUUAGUUAAUAUUAAAUUUCCAACAAUCCCCCACAUGAAUGGAAAUUGACUCAACUAUAUGCAAACAAAAAAUAAAGACAUUAGAGAGAGUCCCUUAUUAGAAGAAUACUGCAUCUGAAUAGGUAGCUUUUGGCCUUGAACCUUCCAUAGUGGAAUACUAUUGGAUUUACUUGGCUAAUCAAUGAACGUGAUGUCUUGAACUGUUCAGCCGUUUGUGUAAACCCAGACAAUAGCACUCACACAAUACCCUUCUAAACAUAUCUAGUUCGAUUGGUUGUGCUCGUUUUGGCCCUGAGCAACUCCUGGCAUUCAUAAGUGCUUUAGAGAAUUUAGCCCUGAAAAUUCUCAUAGAAACGGCCUCAUUUCACACUCACAUAGGUGACUUCCUAUUAAGAGUAUCUUGCCACUACCCCACUCGGAUUUCCAAGCUAUAGGAAUCAUUAAAAUCAAAGAUUACCCUAAAACACGCUACAGGCAACACUGUUUCAUCAUAGGACAUGGGUAGGAGAUGUAAUCUCGGCAGUGCUACUCUUUAGUCAUCCAUAAUUUGGUUGUCCCUUUUGAACCUAGAUCUUGGGAUCUCCAGUCAGCUAGGUUGGGUAUCCACUAUGGAGACUUUAAAUAUUUAGGCUUAUACUCUCAUUCUCCUCGAUGAUCAACUAACUCUCUAGUCUGACCUUUAAAUAUUGGAUCCACUAGGUUGACUAUUUAUGUAAUAUAUUGCCAUCAUAAUUUCAUAUAUGGAAAUAUAUUCCAUUCAGGAGUAGUUGUACUACAUUGAGCAUUUAAUUUAUUUUGUUAAGACUUAAUAAUUGCUCCAACUGAGUAACCUUCUAAUACUCAGUUAGACACCCCCACAUUGUGGUACUUAUAGGAAGGUCUCUAACCUUCUCAUACCCAUAGAACAAAAUAUCGAUAAUUUCGCCGAUAUUUCGGCGAAAUUAUCGUUUUUUUGGGGCUACGAUAUUUUAGCACAUUUCCAUAUAUAUAUCGUCAAUUUAUCGAUAAUUUCCUCGAUAAUUUCGCCGAUAUUUCAAUAACGAUAUUUUCGUUCAAGUUGUAGCUUUAAAUGGACAAUAUAUCGCGAUAUUAUCGAUAAUAUCGCGAUAUGAACUUACAAAAUUAAACUCAGCCUUCAGAUGAACCCCUCAGCCUCUGAAACUCAGCCUUUCUCUGUCUCUCAACUCAGGAAAAAAAAAAAAGCAGAAAGAGGAGAGCGAGAGAGAAGGGAAGAAGAGGAAAAAAAAAAUUAUGGAGUGGGUUUUUAUGUUUUGCUAUUUUGGAUUGUGAUGAAGCGAUAGAGAAGAGGGAAGAGGAAGCAAGGAAAGAGACGGAGAGAUAGAAGAAGAAAGAAAAAAAAAAAAGCAGAUAGAGAAGAGCGAGAGAGAAAAGGGAAGAAGAGGGAAAAAAUGUGUGGAGUUGGUCUUUAUGUUUAAGUGUUUUGGAUUGUGAUGGAGGAGAGAGAAGAGGGAAGAUGAAGAAGAGAAAGAGACGGAGAGAGAUGGAGAGAUAGAAGAAGAAAGGGAGAGAGAGAGAGAGUGGGAGUGUGAAACGGAAGAGGAAGAAGAAUAAAUAAAAAAAAAUAAAAAGGGAGAGAUGGGUGAAUGCCCAAAAGAGAGAGAGAAGGCAGGUUGCAUGUAUCUGCAACCUUGGGAAGUUCAAACAAAAAAAAAGGUUAAAAAAACCUUGGGAAGUGGAAGAGGGAGGCAGGAAAACGUGAAAGUAAUUGGGAAGUGGGAAAUGUGACUUAAUUACUUAAUAUAAUUUAUUUUUUUUCUAUUUAAUUCAUUUAAUGUUAUUGAUUAUUUUAUUAUUCAUUAUAAGUACUUACAUUACUAAAUUCUCCUUCAAAUUGUUACUUAAUUACUUAAAUCUUUAUAAUCAUUUUCAUUAUUUGCUAUUUAAUUCUUCCUUGGAUAAAUUUAUUUAUGUUCUUAGUUAAUUUUUAAUCUUCACUAUUAUUUUUUAAGCCUGAUAAAGUGCCUAAUUUUCAUGAAAAAUCAAAUUGGUUUACAUCUUUAAUUAUUUUUUAAUUUUUGAUAAAUAAUAAAUAUAAGAACGUGUACCAUGUCCAAUGAAUAACGUGAAAUAAAUUGUUGCUUAAUUACUUAAAUUUCUAUAAUCAUUUUCAUUAUUUCCUAUUUAAUUCUUCACUGGAUAAAUUUAUUUAUGUUCUUAGUUAAUUUUCAAUCUUCACUAUUAAAGUGCCUAAUUUUCAUGACAAAUCAAGUUGGUUUACAUCUUUAAUUAUUUUUCAAUUUUUUAUAAAUUAAUAGAUAUAACAACGUGUACCAUGUCCAGUGAAUAACGUGAAAUAAGGUUACUCAUGUAUCUUAUCAUGCAAUUUAUAAAGAGUAAAAUAUUGUACUAAAAAAUGAUAAAUAAAUUACUAAGGAGUGUUUAAUUCUCUUUCAUUAAUUACUUCAGAUUUUCUAAGUCACAGAGUUUGUCAGGUCGCAAUAUAAUCAACUUAAAUCACACAAACCCACUAUGCAAUGCAUUUUCUUCCAAUUUUUUGUGUCAAAAUAAUAGAUGAUUGACUAAAUAAACUUCUUCUAAAGUUUCAUUAAAAAUUUCCAAGUAUUUAUCAUAAUUUCCGUGGUUUUUAUCCAAUUUUUAUCGAUAUCGAUAUUUUCCCGAUAUUUCCAUCGAUAUUUCCGUGUUUUUGAACCACCGAUAUUUCCGAAACUAUCGAUAUUUAAGACCUUGCUCAUACCUUAUUUAAGAGAAAUUUAAACUCUUGUGAACAUCAAAGCCUCUCUCCACAAAAACGUGGUGCUUAUGAACUAAUCUAGAAAACUUCCAUUUUCUCUGUUAGUAAAUAGAAUUCCAAAUUUUCCUUCAUGUCUGUCACCCCCACAAUUUUUACAUAAUUGUGGAAGGUAUUAAGCAAUCUGUUAAUCAUUUUUUCCAUAUGCCUAAGAAGUAGAAAACUUUUACUUUAUCCUUAAAGAAUGAGAUAAUAGUUCUAUAGUAUUAGUUUAUAAUUUCCUUUAAAUCAAUUUAAUGUUGCAUUAGUAAUAGAAUCAUGUUUAUAACAUAAUUAACAUGUUCUAGUUACCAUACCCUCAUUAAUUGAUUAAAGCAAAUCAUUAUAAAACUAAUUUUCCUUUAUAAAGUGCACAUCAAUUUAUACAUAGGGUAAGGCUUUGGUACCCUUUGUCCGUAUGCAUCUCAUUCUGUAGGUAGUACAAUGGAGAUAUUUAUUCUUAAAAUAUCUUCACUUCUUAGGCUCUUUGUAAUAGAACUACUAAUUAGCUUUCCCCCUUUGAAGCCUCAAAGUUUUCAUACCAAGUGCCUCACUCGAAAUACCUUGACUGGUUUCUAACCAUGACCAACAUGGUUGCUGGCAUGACCUAUGAUUGUUAACAUAGUCCUAUAUGGUUUCUCAUUUCUCAUACAGCCACACAAUUUACAAAACAAAAUUUUUGCAAAUUUCUGAACUGUAAACAAAUUGAUAUGUCUCGUAAUAGAGAGCAUGUGGGUUUGUACACUUUCCCGCAUAUCAAUUCUAUUGGAUUGCAGCAUGAAAAUGCCUCCUGGAAGAUAUCAAUGUUGGUUUGAAAAUGCUGCUAUAAUAGCACCUACUAACUUAAAAGAAUCUAACCAAAUGGGUUUGUAUAUCUCCAACAGCCCCAACACGUUGCAUGAACCUAAUAUUCUAUACAAAAUCAUAGAAUAUAUGUUUUGACAUAAAAUGGGUUGCCUUCACAAAAUUUUGUUUUGCCUAACACAGCAAAACUUCCAGAUUUCGAUGUCCAACAGAAACAAAUGCCAAACAAAAAAAUAAGAAAAAACGAUGCUAUAAUUCAGAGGGAAAUUUUCAAUUGUAUAUAUACUUUGUCUAACAAUAGAAAGAGAAUGCAAUCAGACUUUCUUUGUGGCAAUAUUGAUGAGUGGGUCCUAUUAUGAUAACUUAGAUGUCUGCAACUUUGAAUUGUAUAAAACAAAAAGAAACUGAAUGGAAAUCCAAUUAUUAAAAAAAAAAAUGUUUACCCAGAAGUAAUGAAACACUUGAAUGAAUAACCAAUUAAUUUUAACUCAAGUCAACAAUGCAGUGAAUCUGUAAUACGCAUCAAAAAUCAUUUUACACUUUUUCAUCUAAAUGCAUAAUAUCACAGACUAAUAUACAUAGCAAUUAACACAAAUUAAUUUGUCUUAAGAUUGUUGGAAAUAUGAGUGCUAAAUUGCUAUAAAAUAAACAAAAUAAAUACUGCACAUAAAACAUAUUUUUACAAAAGGAGAAUUGAAUUAGAAGAACCUUAUUUGAGUCGAGGCAAGUAUUGGACACACUGACCUUAAGAGGAAUUACGCCCCACACUGGUGCUUAUGGUUCACUAGCGUUCGCCUCUCAGGAUACAACGACUCCCCUCCUUAUGAAAGAAGCACUGCAAUUCACAAGGAACGUUGAACCGAAAUUAUGAAGGAACCUCUCUUAAUGAAAACUCUAAUGCUCUCUAUAUAUGAAAGUAUGUAUGUAGAGAAUUGAUUGAAUGAAUAAAACUGCAGGAGGAUUGCUCUAUUUGUAGAUGAUGAAAUACGCUUUCCAAAAAGGUAUCCCAAUCUGAAAAGGCAAACAAUGCAUCCCUUUGUCUGAAGAGUUGUUACACCAAACAAUGCAUGCCUUGGUUUAAAGAGUUGUCACCCCCCAUGUAAAGAUGUCUUUAACCCAAAGGUCAUGUCUUUAACCCAAUAAAUUUUAUUAAUUUCCAUUCAAAUAGGAUAAUUAAUAUUAAUUAAUAUUAAAUUUCCAACAAUGUGCACAAGAGAUAUCAUGACCAGAACAUACAUAUAGUGAGAUUCUUUAUGCCUGCCAUUUAUCCUUUAAUUAAUGAGACAUACCCUGGGGAAAGAGGAAAAGCUCAACCAACUGAGCUAUAUAGGUUUUGAAUAUCUACGCACAUGGGGGAGGUAGCGGAAGGGGGAAGUGGAAGAACUCAACCAACUGAGCUAUACCCCAUUGACAUAUGUAUAGUAGAGUUGACUGCUUGAAACCUAGAACCUAUAACAUAUAUUAAGAUUGUUCUAUACAAUCUUGGAACAAUCUUCGUGCGAAGGUAUUAUUCCAACAUUUAAGAUAAGUUCUUAUAAUUAAAGAGAAUGUCUCAAUUAAGAAAUAUUUAUGUUUAAGAUUAAGCCCCUAUUUUAUUCACAAAUAAUUAUUAAUAUUGGUUUCCAAUUUAACGAUAAUGAUCAGUGCCGCCCCCGGGAAAAGCAGCGUCAUGUAACCGUCUAGGAAAUCAUCAGUGCCAACCUCAAGGAAAAGGCAACCAUCCAGUACAUUGUAAACCUGGAGAAACCAGUAGAGCGUGCCACAGGUAUGGAGGUCAUGGACGUGGAGGAGAGCAAGACCCUAUCCAUAAAAGGCAUGGUCAUGAACAUGGAGGAGAGCAUGACCCAGACCACAAAGGCCAUGGUCAUGAACAUGGAGGCGUAGUGCUUGAACCCAUCCAUGGAGGGAAAGGCCACGGUCAAGAACGCGGAGGAGAGGGAGACCCUAACCAUGGAGCACAUUGUAAACGUGGAGAAACCAAUAGAGCGUGCUACGGCCAUGGAGGUCAUGAACGUGGAGGAGAGGGAGACCCCUUCAACCAUGGCAGCAAAAACAGACCAGGACAACCAGGCACCGCUGAGACCGAAAGAAAGAAUUAGAUAAAACCUAGGCCUGUGUACGUGUGUGGAAAAUUUGUUUGUCAAUAAAAUGGUCUAUUAUAUAUAUUGGUUGAGUAGUUGUGAACACACAGGCAAAAUCAGACCUACUAUAUAAGGUUUAUCUCUGUACUGUUACGUAAUGUAGUCUUGGAUCCUGCUUGUUAUAUGUA
rnacentral:lncRNA from 1 species